rnacentral:tRNA from 1 species
GGGGUUGUGGCUCAAUGGCAGAGCACUCACCUAGCAUGUGCAAGGCCCUGGGUUCGAUCCUCAGCACCACA